rnacentral:rRNA from 1 species
UGCCUUUUGUCAACACAUUUAAGGUACCUCCUGCCCGGUGAUAAUCUUAAACGGCCGCGGUAUCCUAACCGUGCAAAGGUAGCAUAAUCACUUGUCUAUUAAUUGUAGACUAGAAUGAAAGGAUAAACGAAAUAAGUCCUGUCUCUGCUGACCUAAUAUAAAUUAUACUUUAGAUGAAGAUAUCUAAAUAAAAACGAAAGACAAGAAGACCCUAUAGAGCUUUAUCCGAAUAAAGAAUAAAACUUUUGUCAGGAUUCGGUUGGGGCGACCAAGGGCUUAACAAUCACCCUUAUAAAAAAGAUAUAUUAAUCUCCACCAUGACCCUUAUUCAAGAUCAUAAAAACAAGCUACCUUAGGGAUAACAGGCUAAUCCCAUUAAAGAGUCCUUAUCUAUAAUGGGGGUUGGCACCUCGAUGUUGGCUUAGGGUGUCUGUAUGGUGCAAAAGCCAUAAAAAGAUGGUUUGUUCAACCUUUAAUUCCCU